CCUUUUCCAACUACUAGUACUCUAGUCUAGGAUUAAAUACUUGCCUAAUAUAUAAUAAUAUAUGGCAAAAUAUCAUUGAAUUGUCCAAGAUCUGAACUAAAAACAGGUGUAUGAUGUGAUAUCUGGAAUGCUCAGAGUUUACCCGUACGUACUGGUAUGUGGAUGGGGAGCAUAGUACACCACUCUUGAAUUCCCAACUUCAUCAUUCAUUUAUUUCGUUUAAUUGCGGUUGGUUUCAUGCUUCAAACUACACUAAUUGCUUGAAACCUUCAAAUACAUAUACGGGCAUGCAUGGCUCUGCGGAAUAAUACAUUGUAUUAAACGCCCCUUUAUACAAAUAAGUCGCGUUUACUUGGCCAUGUCCGUGUAAUAAAUUCUAAAUUUACUCACUUUAAUAAAAUUUUAAAAAUAUCUCUUAUUGGGGGAAAAAGCCGAACUAUGCAAUUAUACAACUUUAGUUUCAGUAACAAAGAAAACGUAUUACGUGAAUGGAGAAGAUGGAGAUUGUUAUGAAUGAAGACACAGAUGCAGCAAAAGAGCAUGAGGGAGAAGCAAGAGAAGAAGAAGAGCACAAAAGGUCAAAAAGGAAAAUUAGUAAGUCACAGUACCUUAAGGAUUAUGCAACAAAAUGAGGCUGAGCUGACAAUGAUAUUCUAGAAGCAGAAUUGUGCCGUUAUGGCUUGUCUCCAUGGUAGCGCAAUAUUCAAAUUCCUCCAAGGCAUACAAUGCCAAAAUCUGUUAGAAUUUGUAUAUAGAAUUUGCACUAGAACAUCUAUAUAUAUGAAAGAUAUGUAAUUCUAAUGGAUAACAAUAAAACAGUUUCCUUUUCCUUACCUUAUUUCGGAGGUUCUAGGCCUCGAAUCCUAGACUCUUUUUGUAGUCUACAACAACUUGGUGCUUUCAUUGAUUUUCAUGGCAAAAUCAACCUGCUUUAACUCUAACAUGGAGCGAUUAGAGGAGUUUAUGGCCAAACUGGCUUCAAACCACCUCCCUGUCACUGAAAAGCUCGAUGACUUGUUGCAACGAGUAGCUGCACUAGAAACCACUGUCCAUCAUUCACCUACACCUUCUUCCUCCUCCGCCAUACCUAUACCAAACACACACACUAUUAAUCCCCAUAGAUUGAAACUCGAUGUUCCCAGAUUUGAUGGUUCAGUCCCCUCGGGCUGGGUAUUCAAAAUCACUCAAUUCUUUGAAUACCAUGCAACCCCAGAAUCUAACAGACUGACCAUAGCUUCUUUUUAUAUGGAGGGGCCGACCUUAGCAUGGUUCCAGUGGAUUAUGCGAAAUCAUGAACUCACCACCUGGCCUAGCUUUCUACAAGCUAUUGAAACCCGAUUUGCCCAUUCACCAUAUAAGGACCCUACUGGUCUUUUGUGCAAACUCACACAUACGGGUUUCGUGAAAGAUUACCUUAAUCAAUUUGAAGCCCUUGCCAACACGAUUGUCGGAUUGUUGCCCUCUUUUCUUCUGAGUUGUUUCGUCUCCGGUCUCGACCCGAAUAUUUGUCGGGAGGUACAAGCACUUUAACCCUUCACUCUUGUGGAUGUCGUCGGGCUCGCCCGCCUCCAAGAGGAAAAACUCUUUGAAUCCCGCAGGAACCCUCGCCUUUGACCACCAAUUUUUCCCCACCCUUACCAGCUAUUGUUCUUGCACCCACCCCCACUCUUCCCCUAUUACCCUCACCAGCCAAGCCCCCACCCCUUCCAUUAAAACGCCUUAUCCCUGAAGAAUUAGCAAGCCGUAGGGAGCGCGACUUAUGUUUUUAUUACGACGAGAGGUUCACGAGGGGGCACCGUUGUGCCUCGCGAUUUUUCCUUCUCGUCGCAGAUGAGGAACAAGGCAAUGACACUCCAAGCCCUAAUAUAGCCAACCUUUUCCCCAAUUCUGAUGACAUGGUCGACCUCAAAACCCAACUUAACCCGCAACUUACCCAACAUCCACUCGAACCGCCCCAAGCCCAAAUUAGUUUACAUGCUUUAGCAGGCCAAACCGCCCCAGAAACAUUACGCAUGGUGGGUCAGAUCUUUCACCGGAACGUCGUGAUCUUGGUGGACGGCGGUAGCACGCACAAUUUCGUGCAACAACGCCUGGUGAAAUCCUUGGGCCUUCAAGCUGAAACCACUCCUACCUUGUGCAUGCUGGUCGGCAAUGGUAAUGAAGUGGAAUGUUGCUUCUUAUGUAGGGACCUCAACGUGCAUGUGCAGGGCCACGCCUUCACGGUGGACCUCCAUGUACUUCCUUUGUGCAACAUCGAUGUCAUUUUGGGCGUCCAGUGGCUCAAAGCUCUCAGACCGGUGUUAACCGAUUAUAAUGAUUUGACCAUAAAGUUUGUUCUUAACUACAACCUAAUUGAACUCAAAGGAAAUUCCGACAAAGCCUUGCUAGCAAUUACCCCUCCUCAACUCCGGCGACUAACCCAAACCCAUAGUGCUAGUGAAUACUUCCAUAUUCGCCUUUGUUCCUCAGCUUCACCCUCUCCAACCACUCAUCCCGCUAUCCUUACCUUGACCCACCAAUUUUCCUCCCUUUUCCAAACACCAACUGAUUUACCACCCUCACGCACCACCAACCACUCGAUCCAUCUCUCACCCUAUUCAUCUCUGGUUAAUGUUCGCCCAUACAGGUACCCUCAUUUUCAGAAACAGGAAAUUGAAUCCCAAGUUUCAUGCAUGCUCCAACACAGCAUCAUCAGCCCAAGCACCAACCCCCUUUCCUCACCAGUUUUAUUAGACAAGAACCAGGAUGGAUCCUAGCGAUUCUGCAUGGACUACAGAGCCCUCAAUUCGAUCACCAUCAAGGAUCGCUUCCCGAUUCCGACAAUCGACGAACUGCUCGAUGAACAUGGCGGUGCACGUUGGUUCUCGAAACUGGAUUUACUGAAAGGCUAUCACCAAAUCCUCAUGGCUUCGGCAGAUGUGAGCAAAACUGCAUUGAGGACUCAUCAUGGUCACUAUGAGUUCCUGGUUAUGCCCUUUGGCCUUUGUAACACACCUUCUUCAUUCCAGGCCACAAUGAACACGACCUUUGUUCCUUAUUUGCGUAAAUUUAUCAUCGUCUUUUUUUAUGAUAUUUUAAUUUACAGCAAAUCUUUCUCCGAACACCUCACACACUUGAAUUUAGCUUUUCAGACACUUCGCGAUUAUAGCUUCUUUCUCAAAUUAUCCAAAUGUUCCCUUGCCACUCAACAGGUCGAAUGUUUGGGUCAUUUUGUUUCGGAACGCGGGGUGGAACCUGUUCUGCCAAGGUGGAAGUUGUCCUUCAAUGGCCGAUACCACAGUCAGUCAGAGCCUUACAUGGGUUUUUAGGCCUUUCGUGCUUUUACCGCCGCUUCAUCCAAGGCUAUGCCACCCUGGUUGUGCCACUCACGACCCUGUUGACCAAAGAUUCGUUUCAAUGGUUAAACACCGUUGACCAAGCUUUUCUCUGGUUGAAAGAGGCCUGUGUAAGGCUCUGGUUUUGAGACUAUCGAACUUCUCCUUGCCCUUUGUGGUAGGGACUGACGCCUCUGGAAUCGGUAUGGGAGCGAUUUUAUCCCAACAACAUCACCCUAUAGCCUAUUUCAGCAAGCCUUUUUGUCCAAAGCUACUCCACGCAUCCACCUAUGUUCGAGAACUAGCGACGAUCAUGGCGGCAAUCAAAAAGUGGCGUCAGUACCUACUGGGCCACCAAUUCACAAUCCUCACAGACCACAAAAGUCUUAAGGAACUCAUGGCACAAGCAAUCCAAACUCCGGAGCAACAGACAUACCUCGCGCGCUUAAUGGGUUAUGAUUAUACGAUUCAAUAUUGCGCCAGCAAGACAAAUUUGGUAGCGGAUGCCUUCUCCCGACGACCGGAGAUCACUUCCGGGAGUUUUUUGAUACUAACAAUCCCAAAUUGCAUGUUUUUGCAAAACUUGAAGGCAGAGCUAUCAACCAAUCUAGUGUUUCGGAGGUACCACCAGAAGAUCUUUGACGAACCCUACAAUCACUCCAACUGUCUUUUCUGGCAAGAUUUAAUUUUGCAGAAGGGGCACAUCUGGCUACUACAGGGAGCUCCGUCCAUCUCGACUAUCCUUGUCGAAUUUCACUCAACACCCACCGCAGGACACAUGGGGGUCAUGAAGACAUUAACACGGGUUCGCGAGAACUUUACCUGGGCAAAUAUGAAAAACGGCGUUCGCCAAUAUGUUGCCAACUGCAUUUCAUGUCAACAAUCAAAGUAUGAUCACCGACACUCUCCAGGAUUAUUAUGUCCUUUGCCUAUUCCGACGCGGCCGUGGGAAGACCUUUCCCUAGACUUUAUUGUGGGACUACCAAACUUUCAGGGUCAUUCGACCAUUCUGGUCGUUGUAGACCACUUCUCGAAAGGAGUUCAUUUGGGCAUGUUACCGACACAGUACUCAGCUUCCGGCGUGGCAAGGAUGUUCAUGGACAUCGUCGGCAAAAUCCACAGCAUGCCUCGAAGUUUGGUUUUAGAUAGGGAUCCCCCUCUUUGUGAGUCAUUUUUGGUACAAGCUAAGCGGCACGAAGCUCCGCAUGGGCUCAGCAUACCACCCUCAGACCGACGGACAGACAGAGGUCAUGAACCGUGUCAUCGAGCAGUACCUCAGAGCCUUUGUCCAUUAGAGACCAUCCACAUGGGAGCGAUUCUUGAUAUGGGCGGAGUGGUAGUAUAACACCUCUGUGCACUCUGCAACUGGAAUGUCCCUAUAUGAGAUAACCUUCGGCAAGAAACCUCCAAGCUUACUUCAAUACCUGGAGGAAACUUCAAAUGUGGAAGCAGUUGAUGAAUGACUUAAGCAACGGGAUCAAGUUCUUACUAGUCUAGCAAGGAAGUUGGCAAAGGCACAACAAUGAAUGAAAUAGUUUGCCGAUAAACAACAUCGUGAUAUGAAUUUCGAAGUAGGAGGCUGGGUGUUGGUCAAAUUACGACCCCGCCGGCAGACGACCGUCACCGGAAGCAAAUAUUCUAAACUCGCGAAAAGAUUCUAUGAUCCCUUUCAAGUUAUCCAAUGAAUCGGGGUAGUUGCGUACAAGCUGGAAUUGCCGCCAACUUCAAAGAUUCAUCCAGUGUUCCAUUGUUGCUUAUUAAAACCAUUCCAAUUUCAAUCCACCACAACAGACCCUAGCCUGGAGUUGCCAGCUUUAUUAGAGGAUAAUCAACCCCUCACAAUCCUCGACACAAAAUGGGAACAGACAGCUUCGGGAAGACAAUUACUUGUCCUAGUUCAAUGGACAGGAUUACUUCCAGAAGACACUUCAUGGGAGAAGUGGGAGAACCUUAAAAAGGAUUACAACCUUGAGGACAAGGUUGUUUUGGAAGCUCGGAGGGAUGUUAUGAAUGAAGACACAGAGCAAGAUGCAACAACAGAGCAUGAGGCAGAAGCAAGAGAAGAAGGUCAAAAAGGGAAAUUAGUAAGCCCCAGUACCUUAAGGAUUAUGCAACAAAAUGAGGCUAAGCUGGCAAUGAUCUUCUAGAAGCAGAAUCCACGAAUCCUCUGUGUCGUUGUGCCAUUACAGGUUGUCUCCAUGGUAGCGCAAUAUUCAAAUUCCUCCAAGACAUACAAUGCCAAAAUCUGUUAGAAUUUGUAUCUAGAAUUUAUAGCAGAACGUCUAUAUAUAUGAAGGAUAUGUAAUUCUAAUGGAUAACAAUAAAAUAGUUUCCCUUUCCUUACCUUAUUCUGGAGGUUCUAGGCCUCGAAUCCUAGACUCUUUCUGUAGUCCACAACAGAGACCUAAAAGAAUGUUAGAAAAAAUCAUCAAGGGAGACUAGCUAAAGAAUAUCUCUGAAAUUUAUCUGUGACAAAUGAUAUUAUAUUAUUCACGUAGUUGACCUCACUCACUCAGUAAAAUAAGACUUUAUUAUUAUACUAGAAUCGGUAUAUAUAGAUAAUGGAGUUGCUGCCUUGCAGGCUAAUGCAGUUACAUGGUGGCAUCAAAAUGUUAGUAACAAUACUUAAAGGAAACUGUUAGAACUUAAAAGGGCUAAUUAAGUGGUUAGGCAGAACCCUAUAAAUAUAACAAAUCAAUGUAUAUUAUAUUGCAAGGUUUGGGGACCUAAGACCCUCUAGAGAUGAUAAUGGAUGCUGAGCUUGUU
rnacentral:lncRNA from 1 species